AGAACGAACGCUGGCGGCAGGUUUAACACAUGCAAGUCGAACGCCCCGCAAGGGGAGUGGCAGACGGGUGAGUAACGCGUGGGAACGUGCCCUUCGCUUCGGAAUAGUCCCGGGAAACUGAGUUUAAUACCGAAUACGCCGUAUUGGGAAAGAUUUAUCGGCGAAGGAUCGGCCCGCGUUAGAUUAGGUAGUUGGCGGUGUAAUGGACCACCAAGCCUACGAUCUAUAGCUGGUCUGAGAGGAUGAUCAGCACACUGGGACUGAGACACGGCCCAGACUCCUACGGGAGGCAGCAGUGGGGAAUCUUGGACAAUGGGCGCAAGCCUGAUCCAGCCAUGCGCGUGAGUGAAGAAGGCCGUUAGGUUGUAAAACUCUUCGCCUGAGAAGAUAAGUGACGGUAUCCGGAGAAGAAGCCCGGCUAACUUCGUGCCAGCAGCCGC
rnacentral:rRNA from 1 species